rnacentral:rRNA from 1 species
AGUCGUAACAAGGUCUCCGUAGGUGAACCUGCGGAGGGAUCAUUACACAAAUAUGAAGGCGGGCUGGAACCUCUCGGGGUUACAGCCUUGCUGAAUUAUUCACCCUUGUCUUUUGCGUACUUCUUGUUUCCUUGGUGGGUUCGCCCACCACUAGGACAAACAUAAACCUUUUGUAAUUGCAAUCAGCGUCAGUAACAAAUUAAUAAUUACAACUUUCAACAACGGAUCUCUUGGUUCUGGCAUCGAUGAAGAACGCAGCGAAAUGCGAUAAGUAGUGUGAAUUGCAGAAUUCAGUGAAUCAUCGAAUCUUUGAACGCACAUUGCGCCCUUUGGUAUUCCAAAGGGCAUGCCUGUUCGAGCGUCAUUUGUACCCUCAAGCUUUGCUUGGUGUUGGGCGUCUUGUCUCUAGCUUUGCUGGAGACUCGCCUUAAAGUAAUUGGCAGCCGGCCUACUGGUUUCGGAGCGCAGCACAAGUCGCACUCUCUAUCAGCAAAGGUCUAGCAUCCAUUAAGCCUUUUUUUUCAACUUUUGACCUCGGAUCAGGUAGGGAUACCCGCUGAACUUAAGCAUAUCAAUAGUCG